rnacentral:rRNA from 1 species
ACGGGACCCGCACAAGCGGUGGAUGAUGUGGAUUAAUUCGAUGCAACGCGAAAACCUUACCUACCCUUGACAUGUCCGGAAUCCCGAAGAGAUUUUGGGAGUGCUCGCAAGAGAGCCGGAACACAGGUGCUGCACGGCUGUCGUCAGCUCGUGUCGUGAGAUGUUGGGUUAAGUCCCGCAACGAGCGCAACCCUUAUCAUUAGUUGCUACGCAAGGGCACUCUAAUGAGACUGCCGGUGACAACCGGAGGAAGUGGGGAUGACGUCAAGUCCUCAUGGCCCUUAUGGGUAGGGCUUCACACGUCAUACAAUGGUCGGUACAGAGGGUUGCCAAGCCGCGAGGCGGAGCCAAUCCCACAAAGCCGAUCGUAGUCCGGAUUGUUCUCUGCAACUCGAGAGCAUGAAGUCGGAAUCGCUAGUAAUCGCAGGUCAGCAUACUGCGGUGAAUACGUCCCCGGGUCUU